CCUACGGGCGGCAGCAGUGAGGAAUAUUGGUCAAUGGACGCAAGUCUGAACCAGCCAUGCCGCGUGCAGGAAGACGGCUCUAUGAGUUGUAAACUGCUUUUGUACGAGGGUAAACGCAGAUACGCGUAUCUGUCUGAAAGUAUCGUACGAAUAAGGAUCGGCUAACUCCGUGCCAGCAGCCGCGGUAAUACGGAGGAUUCAAGCGUUAUCCGGAUUUAUUGGGUUUAAAGGGUGCGUAGGCGGUCGGAUAAGUUAGAGGUGAAAUCCCGAGGCUCAACUUCGGAAUUGCCUUUGAUACUGUGCGGCUAGAGAGUAGUUGAGGUAGGCGGAAUGUAUGGUGUAGCGGUGAAAUGCUUAGAGAUCAUAAAGAACACCGAUUGCGAAGGCAGCUUACCAGGCUACUUCUGACGUUGAGGCACGAAAGCGUGGGGAGCAAACAGGAUUAGAUACCCGAGUAGUC
rnacentral:rRNA from 1 species